UAAAAUAGACCAAAUAUGGGUCAUUUUCAGCUAAUUCCGAUAUUGAGCAAUCUUAAUUUAUAGAUUUAUAUGAAAAUCAGCAUGGUGGAUUUUGCAUAGAUGUGCUGUCACUAUGACUUGGUAAUUUUAAAGCAUUUUUAUCUUUACAUUUUACUGUAAAUAAUCAUAAAACCUAGGAUUUAAAUUAAUAUUAGAGCAAUUAUGUUCAUGAUCUUUAAUAGAGCAAGUAUCUGUAUUAUAAAAAGGAAUAAAACAUUUCCCCAGUUUUUACAGAGUAAUAUAUAUUUACUCUGAGACAUCAAGUUGUUUAGGCUUCACUCUAAAUAUUAUCAUGUUUAUAUUCUUUGGUUUCCGUUAUUGUUCACAUGUUCUAUAAAACCUACCUAAUCUAUAGACCUUGGAUGAUAACAAAGAACUGGAGAGGUUUGCCUAAAGAAAAUCAGUGUAGUAAUUGAAAACAAAUGCUAAAUUAUAGUAAUUUCAAGUUAUUAUAUAUGCCAUGAUUUUUCGUAUUAUAAACAGUUCAUAAGUCUCAAAGGAAAUUUUAAAAUUUUUUAGAAAAAGUAGAGGAAAUGUUACUUCUUAUUUCGUCGCUAGUAUAAGAAGUUUCAUGUGUUGAUACUAGUAUAAGAAUUGUGACAUUUUCCCUUUCAGUUGCUUUAUCUAUACGUAAUUUAAUGUUGUAUAAUUGUGUAUUUUUUACAUAUUAAUACUUAAACACUUCAUGUGAAUUUUCUAAGAAAACAUUAAAACUAUUUCUUUUUAUUCUUUUUGUUGUUGUUGCUUUUUAGGGCUGUAGGUUCAGCAUAUGGACGUUCCCAGGCUAGGGGUCGGAUUGGAGCUACAGCUACCAGCCUACGCCACAGCCACAGCCACAGCCAUACCAAAUCCGAGCCAUGUCUGCAACCUAUACCACAGUUCAUGGCAAAGCCAGAUUCUUGACCCACUGAGCAAGGCCAGGGAUCAAACCCUCAUCUUUAUGGUUGCUAGUUGGAUUUGUUUCUGCUGAGCCACAACAGGAACUCCCCCUAAACUGUUUUUUGAUACACAUUGCAACCAUGAUUUUUAUUACCAUGACAUUAUCCUGUGGAUUUUGAAUAUAUCAUUGAUUUACUUAUCAUUUACCUUUUGAAAUUAAUGGAGCAUCUGUAUGUACCAUGCAUUUUUCUGAUCACUAGAAAUUCAGCAGUAAAGGUCAUAAAUGCUUUCACCUUACAGAGCUUUCUAAAUAAAGUAAGGCACUCUGUGAACUAGUAAUGAUAGAAUAUAUAUCAAGUGAUUAUAGGUGUAUAAAGAAAACAGUGACAUAGGAUAUAGGUUGGAGGGAAAGAAAACACAGUUCACCUAGUGAUGGAUUUGACAAGGUUUCUCUGUUUUUUUUUUUUUUUUCCUGCUACUGUAAAGAAUUAAGACAUAGAACCAAAGAGAUAAAUGAAAAGCCAAAUAUGUAAUAGAUACUCAAAUAUUUGAUGAGUACAUUAAAAAUGAAUAUAGAGAGAAUGAACUGGAAAGAAAUAAGUAUUAGAGUAAAAGUUUUUCAGGAAAAAGUUAAUAUAGCUAGCACCAUGACAUUGGAGAUCGAGUGUAAGACAGAAACUCAAGAACUGUAAAGGAGGCAGAAUCUAGUUGUUAAUUUGAAAUAGAGGGUCAGAAUUUUAAUCAGGGAACAGUCUGUUUUCCCACAUUUUUAGAAGAAUGUCUUAGAAGAAACGCCUUAUGCCUUUGUUGCUUAUAUUGAUAUGUUAAUAUAAAAUAUUAAUACAUUUCUUAAAAUUGAUCUCAACUCUCACUCCUGGCAUAAAUUAGAAGUUGUGAUUAUAGAUUAUUUCAGAAAUGCUAAUAAAACCCCUUCGUUAGUAUUUUCAAAUGUGUUAAUACAGUUUUUAACUCCUGUGUUUCUUGUCACUGUAUUUCAUUUUUUACUCUAAUUAUCAUUGUUUAUAUUUUUUGGCUCUUAGUAGACUUCUUGAGAGUCUGUGUAAUUAUUUGUUUCUUUCCUUGAUUGUAUUAAUUGCAUUAUCUUUCUAUAAUCUAAUUCAAAUGUUUCUGCUUUUACCUCUGUUAGCUCAUACUUCUGUUUUUCUUUGAAUAGUUUUCUCCUUUUACAUUCUGAAAUGAAUAACUCAUGCCUUUUCUCUGUGUUAUGUAGGAAAAGCACAUUAGAGUAUAAAUUUAUGACUUCAGCCUGACUUAACCUCAUGCAUUUCUCUCAUAAUUGUUUUCUGAGUAGUCAGAUUAUCUAUUUUAUUUCCCUCUAAAUUGAUAGUUACUCAAGACAUAGAAACAACCCAAUGUUUUUCUAUUUUAUUUUUCCUUUUUUUUAAAUAGAAGAGGCCAGUGAUGUUCAAAAGUAAAAUAAUAUCCCCAUGUCCUCAGUUUCAGAAAUUAUCUAUUCAUGGCCAAACUUAUUUUAGUGAUAAACUCAUCCUCUACUUCUUCAAAACUACUUUGAAAUAAAUUUUGGAUAUUAUGUAAUUUCACUUGUGAAUUGAGAAUGGUUGGUAUGUUUCUUAACUCUUUUGAGAGAUGUUCUUCCUCUGUACCUAUUUUUCGUUCACUUUUUAUUUUUAAUUGAAGAAACUAGGUGGCAUAUCCUUAGAAAUUUUACAUCUGGAGUUUGUUGGUUGCAUUCCCACAUGUCUAUUGAUGUAUUUUUCUCUCUUACGUACUUUUUUUUCCCUGUAAAUUCUGAGGUAGAUGUAGAAGUUUGAUUGGAAACUGGUUCAAGAUUUUGGCAAAACCACUUCAUAGAUAAUGUUUCAUUCUUAUUUGGAGAGGUAAGAAAUUCUCUCUCCUUCUCCUCUCACUGUCCAUGUCCAGCCCCAUCUCUCUCUGAUUUUAGUAGCCAUUGGCAAUCAUUGCCAACGUCUUUCACUCCAUUAGGGGUUAUGAAAAGAUAAAAAUCUGACUUGCCAAUCCUAAUUAUUAGCUGGGAUGCUUUUACAAAGAGAAACAUUCCUCAUCAGCAGUUAAAUUAAGCAUUUUUUUUAUGUAAAAAAAUCACUAAUUAAACAAUUGCACUCCUAGCCAUGUAUCCAGACAAAACUUUUACUCGAAAAGAUACAUGCAAACUUCUCUUUAUAGCAGCAAUAAUCACAAUAGCCAAGACAUAGAAAUAACCUAAAAGUUCAUUGACAGAGGAAUGGAUAAAGAAGAUGAGGUAAAUGUAUACAGUGGGGAAUUCUCAUCGUGACUCAGCUGUUAGCGAACCUGACUAGCAUCCUUGAGGACCAAGUUCAAUCCCUGGCCUCACUCAGUGGUUUGGGGAUCCAGCUUGGUGUGAGCUGUAGGUGGCUAAGAUCCUGUGUUGCUGUGGCUCUGGUGGCUCUAGCGUAGGCCGGUGGCUGCAGCUCCAAUUCAGCCCCCAACCUGGGAACCUCCAUAUGUUGUGGGUGUGGCCCUAAAAA
rnacentral:lncRNA from 1 species